rnacentral:rRNA from 1 species
GAGUUUGAUCCUGGCUCAGAUUGAACGCUGGCGGCAGGCCUAACACAUGCAAGUCGAGCGGUAACAUGCCUUCGGGUGAUGACGAGCGGCGGACGGGUGAGUAAUGCUUGGGGAUCUGCCCGAUGGCGGGGGACAACCACUGGAAACGGUGGCUAAUACCGCAUAAUGUCUACGGACCAAAGUGUGGGACCUUCGGGCCACACGCCAUCGGAUGAACCCAAGUGAGAUUAGCUAGUUGGUGGGGUAAAGGCUCACCAAGGCGACGAUCUCUAGCUGGUUUGAGAGGAUGAUCAGCCACACUGGGACUGAGACACGGCCCAGACUCCUACGGGAGGCAGCAGUGGGGAAUAUUGGACAAUGGGGGCAACCCUGAUCCAGCCAUGCCGCGUGUGUGAAGAAGGCCUUCGGGUUGUAAAGCACUUUCAGCGAGGAGGAAGGAGGUGUAGUUAAUAGCUGCACCUUUUGACGUUACUCGCAGAAGAAGCACCGGCUAACUCUGUGCCAGCAGCCGCGGUAAUACAGAGGGUGCAAGCGUUAAUCGGARUUACUGGGCGUAAAGCGCACGCAGGCGGUUUGUUAAGUCAGAUGUGAAAUCCCCGGGCUCAACCUGGGARUUGCAUUUGAAACUGGCAAGCUAGAGUACGAGAGAGGGGGGUAGAAUUCCACGUGUAGCGGUGAAAUGCGUAGAGAUGUGGAGGAAUACCGGUGGCGAAGGCGGCCCCCUGGCUCGAUACUGACGCUCAGGUGCGAAAGCGU